UACGUAGGGUGCGAGCGUUGUCCGGAAUUAUUGGGCGUAAAGGGCUCGUAGGCGGUUUGUCGCGUCGGGAGUGAAAACGCCGGGCUUAACUCGGUGCUUGCUCUCGAUACGGGCAGACUAGAGGCAUGCAGGGGAGAACGGAAUUCCUGGUGUAGCGGUGAAAUGCGCAGAUAUCAGGAGGAACACCGGUGGCGAAGGCGGUUCUCUGGGCAUGUCCUGACGCUGAGGAGCGAAAGUGUGGGGAGCGAACAGG
rnacentral:rRNA from 1 species